rnacentral:rRNA from 1 species
UGGGGAAUAUUGCACAAUGGGCGCAAGCCUGAUGCAGCCAUGCCGCGUGUAUGAAGAAGGCCUUCGGGUUGUAUAGUACUUUCAGCGGGGAGGAAGGCGAUAAGGUUAAUAACCUUGUCGAUUGACGUUACCCGCAGAAGAAGCACCGGCUAACUCCGUGCCAGCAGCCGCGGUAAUACGGAGGGUGCAAGCGUUAAUCGGAAUUACUGGGCGUAAAGCGCACGCAGGCGGUCUGUCAAGUCGGAUGUGAAAUCCCCGGGCUCAACCUGGGAACUGCAUUCGAAACUGGCAGGCUAGAGUCUUGUAGAGGGGGGUAGAAUUCCAGGUGUAGCGGUGAAAUGCGUAGAGAUCUGGAGGAAUACCGGUGGCGAAGGCGGCCCCCUGGACAAAGACUGACGCUCAGGUGCGAAAGCGUGGGGAGCAAACA